rnacentral:tmRNA from 1 species
GGGGUUGACCGGUUUUGACAGCGUGUAGAGGUGGUGAGUAAGCAUGCAGAGCAAUGAUGGCUACGCUCUUUAAUCAGGGACAUCAAAAAUUCAAAUGGCGAAAACAACUACGCUCUCGCUGCCUAAUUGAAGCACAGUAAAUUAGCUUUAUCUCUGCAACAGUUGCAGAGACGAGACAUCACCCGAUUGUCCAUUUCCCGAGACGGAUCGACAAGGUGGUGCAGGUAAAUCGGGAAUCGGGCGCCGAAAGCCUCGCGAAGCGCCCUAAACACUUAGAGGAUAAGGUAACGGUUGGUUGUCUUUGGCCUGCCGGUACACGAAAACCAAACGAAGAAUAAGCAUGUAGAAAGCUCAUUAGUUCCGCGUCUGGACGAGGGUUCGAAUCCCUCCAGCUCCACAA